GGUUGGCUGUGAUGAAUUGCAUGUGAGUCCGUGUUUCACCUGAUAAUAAUGAAUAACUGCAUGCACUGAGCAGACC